rnacentral:rRNA from 1 species
AUGGAAGCAUGCCAAGGUGAAGUUGACGAUCUCUUUAGUGUUUAUCCUUCUCUUCAUCUUGCCCUAUGUGCUCAUGCUGCGAGUGCCGCAGGAUGAUUUAGUUCUGAUCGAGUGCUUGACCCCUUAAGGAGGGCAUAUUCUUCAGCAUCUCUCUUGUCGGAUCGUAUCCUCGUGACCACGUCGUCAAAGAGACAGUCUUUCUUUGGUUUGGCCCACCGAUUUACCGUCGUUGGUGACACUCUUCUGAGCCCCUAG